AGUAGCUGCGAGCGAACAGGGAAGAGCCCAGCACCGAAUCCCGCGGGCCCCGCCCGUAGGGAGGUGUGGUGUUAGGGAGGGCCCGCUCAUCCCGGGUCCCCCGCGGCGAGUCCAAGUCCAUCUUGAAUGGGGCCACGGCCCGCAGAGGGUGCCAGGCCCGUAGAGACCGCCGCGAGGCCCGGGAGGGUCUCUCCUCAGAGUCGGGUUGCUUGAGAGUGCAGCCCCAAGAGGGUGGUAAACUCCAUCUAAGGCUAAAUACGACCACGAGACCGAUAGCGAACAAGUACCGUGAGGGAAAGUUGAAAAGAACUUUGAAGAGAGAGUUCAAGAGUACGUGAAACCGUUCAGGGGUAAACGGGAGAAAUCCUGAAUUCGAAAGGGAUCGGAUUCACGUCCGCCCGGCCAGCCCAGGCCGCCCGGCCCCGCCAGAUGGCGCCGGUCGCCCGCCGCGAUUUGCUUCGCGCGCGGUGUCGCUCCCGGCGGCCACUCGGCAAGGGGUGGCGUAGCUCUGGCGCCGGAGGACUGCACUUCCUCCCUCGUAGAAACGUCGCGACCCGUUGGGUGCCGGCCUCAAGGCCCGGGAUGGCAGCCCGUUCGCGACCCGCUUGGGGGUUCCCGCGGGCCGCGUCGGACUCCCGGAGACCCGGCCGGCCGCCCGACGGCCGGACCAGAGGAGUCGAUCCGCCGAGCGAAAAAAGCACUGCGGUUUGUGCGGCGUCCGGCCCGGCGCCGACGCGAGCGGGGUGUGGCGUCCCCCGAGGCGCGGGUGUUUCCGUGCGAGGCACGGCCCCGAGCCCCGCCGCGUGGUCGGGAAGCCCGAAAGGCUUCCACCCCGCCGGCGUCCUCGGACCUCGGAUCUGAACUCCCGUCGGCGACGCCCACCUUCGGAUGGUCUCCCCGACCCGUCUUGAAACACGGACCAAGGAGUCUAACAUGUGCGCGAGUCGUUGGGUCGCUCUAAACCCACAGGCGCAAUGAAAGUGAAGGCCGCUUCGCUGUGGACGGCCGAGGGAAGACGGCCGCCGGGGGAGUCGCAAGGCUCCCCCUAGAUGGCGCCGGCAUUCCCGGGGCGCCUCGGCCCUCACUGCGAGGGGAGGCGCACCCAGAGCGCACACGUUGGGACCCGAAAGAUGGUGAACUAUGCCCGGCCAGGACGAAGCCAGGGGAAACCCUGGUGGAGGUCCGUAGCGAUUCUGACGUGCAAAUCGAUCGUCGGAGCCGGGUAUAGGGGCGAAAGACUAAUCGAACCAUCUAGUAGCUGGUUCCCUCCGAAGUUUCCCUCAGGAUAGCUGUCGCUCGGAGGAAAGAGUCUCAUACGGUAAAGCGAAUGAUUAGGGGCCUUGGGGCCGAAACGACCUCAACCCAUUCUCAAACUUUAAAUGGGUGAGACCUCCGGCUUGCUCGAGCUGAAGCCGGAGGCGGAUCCGGAGUGCCAAGUGGGCCACUUUUGGUAAGCAGAACUGGCGCUGUGGGAUGAACCAAACGCCGAGUUAAGGCGCCCGAAUCGACGCUCAUGGGAAACCAUGAAAGGCGUUGGUUGCUUAAGACAGCAGGACGGUGGCCAUGGAAGUCGGAAUCCGCUAAGGAGUGUGUAACAACUCACCUGCCGAAGCAACUAGCCCUGAAAAUGGAUGGCGCUGAAGCGUCGUGCCUAUACUCGGCCGUCGGUGGCAUUGGGAGCGGGUCGACCCUCGGGGAGGCCCCUCGAAGAAGCCCCGACGAGUAGGAGGGUCGCGGCGGCGAGCGCAGAAGGGCAGUGGCGCGAGCCUGCCUGGAGCCGCCGUCGGCGCAGAUCUUGGUGGUAGUAGCAAAUACUCCAACGAGGCCCUGGAGGACUGAUGCGGGGCAGGGUUUCGUGUGAACAGCCGUUGCACACGAGUCAGUCGAUCCUAAGCCCUACGCGAGAGCGGAUGCCGAUGGCCGGCCUCGCCAAACAGGUCGUAGCGGAGCCAAACCGGCGCGGGCGAAAGGGAGUCCGGUUCCUAUUCCGGAACCCGGCAGCGGAACCGUUCCGACGCGGGCCCUCGGAAGAGGUAAGCUCGUCGGGGUGACCCAAAAGGACCCGGAGACGCCGUCGGGAGGUCUGGGAAGAGUUUUCUUUUCUGCAUGAGCGUCCGUGCUCCCUGGAAUCCUCCAGCAGGGAGAUAGGGAGCGGGACGCGAAGAGCACCGCAGUUGCGGCGGUGUCCAGAUCUUCCCCUCGGACCGUGAAAAUCCGGGAGAGGGCCACGCGGAGCAUUCGCGCCGGUUCGUACCCAUAUCCGCA
rnacentral:rRNA from 1 species